UAUAUUUAAUGCAUGUGUUCAAAGAUUCAAUGUGAUAUAGAAUCUUGAAAAAAAUUUAGAACUAAACAAGGCCUAAGUCUUAGGCUUUCUCUUGCUCUGCUACAGUGGCCAAAAAUUGCCAGGGCUAGUAUGCAUCGGGUAUCUUUUGAGAUUAAUGGAGUGCCAACAUAUAUAUUACUUCUAAAUCGUUCAUAAUCGAUUGUCUCUACGAUUUUAGUGGACACAAAACUUAGCACAACGUAAUGUGAACAUAAGGACGUUAAAGAAAAUAAGGAGGUAACAGCCACGCAAAAUGGAGCCUCAUAAGUAAGAGGACUUUUUUGAAUCCAUACACAACCAAUCAAUCAAGCAGUAAAAAUUUACUUAAACAUUCAUGAUGGUCCUUCCAGUUUGUGGGUUUCUGUUGAAGAGGUUUCUGUGCACUAUACUAACCUACAUGUAAAACAAAUCCAAAGAAAUCCUAAAAUAAUAUACUCACUACUACGCACUACGGGAGACAGAGGCUUUGCGAGUGUCAAAAACACUCGGCAAAGGCCCAAAUACACUCGGCAAAGCUUUUGCCGAGUACC
rnacentral:lncRNA from 1 species